AAAGCUGACUAGACAGUCGCCCCAGGGUCAUACCUACUGGUAAAACACUACUCUGGGGAGGAAAGUCCGGGCUCCAUAGGGUGUGGAUGCCAGGUAACACCUGGGAGGCGAAAGCCUACGACUAGUGCAACAGAAAACAAACCGCCGACAACCUAUAAGGUUCUAUAUCAAUACUUACGAUGGGUUAGGCAAGGGUGAAAUGGUGCGGUAAGAGCGCACCACGCGACUGGUAACAGUACGUGGUACGGUAAACUCCAUCCGGAGCAAGGCCAAAUAGAAGCUCGUCAAGUAUGGCCCGUACAGAGCUCGGGUAGGCUGCUUGAGCCAGUAAGUGAUUCCUGGCCUAGAUGAAUGACUGUCCACGACAGAACCCGGCUUAUAGGUCAGCUUUUUAA
rnacentral:RNase_P_RNA from 1 species